rnacentral:rRNA from 1 species
GACGAACGCUGGCGGCGUGCUUAACACAUGCAAGUCGAACGGAAAGGCCCUGCUUUUGUGGGGUGCUCGAGUGGCGAACGGGUGAGUAACACGUGAGUAACCUGUCCUUGACUUUGGGAUAACUUAAGGACACUGGGGCUAAUACCGGAUAGGAGCUCCUGCUGCAUGGUGGGGGUUGGAAAGUUUCGGCGGUUGGGGAUGGACUCGCGGCUUAUCAGCUUGGUGGUGGGGUAGUGGCUUACCAAGGCUAUGAGGCGUAGCCGGGCUGAGAGGGUGAGCGGCCAAGCUGGGACGGAGAUGCGGCCCAGACUACUACGGGAGGCAGCAGAGGAGAAGGGUGCACAAUGGGCGGAAGGCUGAUGCAGCAACGCAGCGUGCGGGAAGACGGCCUGCGGGUUGGAAACCGCUUUCGCCUGUGACGAAGCGUGAGUGACGGUAAUGGGUAAAGAAGCACCGGCUAACUACGUG